rnacentral:lncRNA from 1 species
CUGGAGAGUAGUAGUGGCAUUGGCUUGAGGUCUGCGGUGCUGACCAAGAGAGCAGUGGUUCAGAUUGGGUACUUUUGGAUUGAUUGUCCCGUUGAUGCAUACAUACAGUAGCUGUAGUUGUUCAUUUAUAUUCAUUUCAGCACUUGUUUAUCUUAGCUACUGUACUAUCAUUAUCCGUAUAUUUGUUUAUCUCCGUGACUAGUGAGUACCCCUCGCCCCCUUCGGCUUGCGGUACCCACUGGGAGGGGAGACAUGUUUACAUGUUCUCACCCCCCGCCCCCAUUACAGGUGACGUAGCAGGUCCGAGUGGGACAGCUGGUGAGGAGCGUGUCUAGCGUGCGAUAGAGCUCCUUCCCGAGUCGGUUAUCCCUUUUACCCUUCAUGCUCGAAUAAAUACUUAGACAUAUUAUGGUUCAGUUUCUAUUUUAUUAUCUGAUUAUCUGGUUUUCAAUUGGUUUUGAAAUGUACUAAAGGAUUUGAGUUUUUCUUGAAAUAAAACAGUUUUCUACCCCUCGUGGUAGCUGGUUUGAAAAGGAAUGGUUCCCGUGUGGGGAUUAGUUUUUAAACUGAUUUCUCUGUGGUUUUAUGGAUUUAGUAUUUCAAAAUCAGUUUCCAGGUAGGAAACAUUUUAACUGAUAGAUGUAGAAUGUUAUUCAUAAUUCAAGUUUCAUAUCUGGGUGUGUGAAUGGAAUGGAUGAAUGUUAUCUAUCUUGUUGUUCAUCUGGUUGUGGUUGUGAUUGUAUGUGUAUCUAUACUCUGUUGUACUUGUGCGACGCCGUGCAAAUACAGGGGAGACUCUGUCCGUGUGAACAGUGGAGCUCCUGUAUUUGUGGCGGAUCUGGCACACUCUGGGGUCAGAUUUUAAAAAAAAAAAUUUCAGACGCUUUUCCGCUACCUUUUAAACUAAAAGGGACCCCGGGGCGUGACAGAUUAAAGUGGUAUCAGAGACAAGUUACAACUACAACCCCAUUCACAGACUAUUUUGAAGUCCAAAAAGGACUGAACCAUUGGUUAGGUUGACCCUAGGAAGACCUACGUUGUAUAGGCACGUGAGUGCGGGGUUUGGGCUCGAGUUCUGGUUGAUAGUAGUCGAGUUAAUUUUUCGGCUAACGGUGUUUUUGUGUUACAGAUGGCUCGUGGUAGACCUCCUCUUCGUGGUCGUGGCGGUGGACGCGCCGCAGAGGGCUCUAUCAAUAGCCCUGGAGAGCAGGCCCCGAGAGGCAGAGGCAGGGGCAGGGGCAGAGGGGAGCAGAUCGGCCCAGAUCAGCAGGGCGAUACUCGUGCCCAGCAGCUCGAGGCUGAGGUAGCAGCGAUGAGGGGUCAGAUGACAGCCCUCACUGGGGCGGUUCAGCAGCUCCAGCAGCUUUUACAGCAGCACGCUGCAGCUGCUGUUCCCCCGGUACCACCCCCGACGCCGCCGGUUCCUGAGGCAGCUGCCCCUCAGGUGGCGCCUCCACAGGCGGUCCCUCCGACUGUCCCGAGGACGACGACGACCACCACGACGGUUCCCACUGGGGGUGCUGAUGCCCCAGCAGCUGAGGGCGCCCGUAUGCGUGCGAAGCUGAUCGAGUUCAGGAAGUUCGACCCGCCGAAAUACGCGGGGAAGAAGGAAGAGAAUGGAGUUCUCGAGCGCUGGCUGACCGACAUGGAGAAACUACUCGAGGACUUAUUCAUCGAUGAGCAGGACCGCGUCCCCUUGGCCGCCCACUUUCUGGACGGGGACGCAAGCUCUUGGUGGCGCCGACAUCUAUCGCUCAAGCUGGGCAAUGUUUUCCCGCCCUGGGGGGAGUUCCGGAGACUUCUCCACGAGCAGUUCUUUCGGGACAACUCGAAAUUGGAGUUGGAGCGCGAGCUAGAACGUCUUCAACAGGGGAGCCGUACCGUAGCUGAGUACGAGCGAGACUUCUCUCGCAUUGUGGGGCUGAUUCCCUUCGUCAUCCGAGACGAGCGCCACAAGGCGAGAGUCUUCGCGAGAGGCUUGAGACCCAAUAUCAGGAUGCUGCUGGCUUCUCAUGGCACAAUGACAUUUGAUGAGUGUUUGGACCGAGCCCUCGUCAUCCAGAGCGAGUCUACCGAGGUCCGAGCUGCAAAGGAGGCCUCGGAGCGAUCGGGGGACAGAAAGCGUUCCCAUUCUAGGACUGGUGGCGGCUCCUCUUCCAACAGCAAGAAGCCACCAAAGCACCCUCGCACUCAGCAGUCGGCGAGGAGUGCACCCUCUGGCAGUCAGCGACGAGGCGGUCGACCCUGUGUGAUUUGUGGGCAAGCACACCGGGUGACCGAAUGUCCGCAGAGGAGGGACCACUGCUUCCACUGUGGCCAGCCGGGCCAUCUACAGGCUCGAUGCCCUAUGAGAAAUGGGGCCACGCAGAGCGCCGCUUCCUCCCCAGCAGCAUUCCGACAGGACCGCGGAGCUUCCAGCGCAGCUGCACCGUCUGGGCGUCCCUCUUCCUCACGUCAAAAUGAGGGGGCGCGUCAGGCAUCUGGUGGACGGGUCUUUGCCCUGACUCAGCACGAGGGCAACACUGGUGGCGACGUCCUUGCAGGUAUUGUCACCCUCUCCAUCACUCGUGCUAGAGCUAUAUUCGAUACUGGAGCAUCGCACUCAUUCAUUUCGCAUUCAUUUGCAUGUGAGCAUGGUAUUUCCUCGCGUCCACUAGACGUGCCGCUCCGUGUUGACACGCCUGGAGGUGACCUUUUAGCUGAUCGGUGCAUCCUAUCAUAUCCUGUCGUUUUGGAUAAUCGAAGUUUUCUGGCGAACCUGGUGGUACUUCCAAUGAAGAAGUUCGACGUGGUGCUUGGGAUGGACUGGUUCACCAAGCAUCGCGCUACUAUCGACUGCGAGCGGAGGACGGUGACAUUUAUUGGGCCCGGUGAAGAAAUGUUCGUCUAUCGAGCGUGUAAGAGCUCUUACUUCGCCGCGUCUAUCUCUUCUGCUAGAGCUAAGAGGCUUAUAAAUGCCGGAUGUGUGGCUUAUUUGGCUUCCGUGGAUGUCACCCACCGAGCUGCACCAGCCUUGGAGGAGAUUCCAGUUGUCCGGGAAUUUCCGGAAGUGUUUCCAGCCGAACUUCCGGGAAUGCCCCCGGACCGAGAAAUUGAGUUCUUUAUCGAGCUAGUUCCGGGCACUGCACCGAUCUCGAAGGCCCCCUAUCGCAUGGCCUUCGCUGAGCUGAAAGAGCUGAAGGCUCAGCUCGAGGAUCUCUUGGAGAGAGGAUUUAUCCGACCCAGUGUGUCUCCAUGGAGUGCCCCGGUUCUCUUUGUCAAAAAGAAGGAUGGUAGUCUUCGACUGUGCAUCGACUACCGAGAGCUCAACAAAGUCACAGUGAAGAACAAAUAUCCACUGCCCCGUAUUGACGAUCUCUUCGAACAGCUUCAGGGAUCGUCGGUAUUUUCUAAGAUCGACCUUCAGUCAGGAUACCAUCAGCUUAAGAUCCGGGCUGAAGACGUGCCGAAGACCGCUUUUCGAACUCGUUACGGCCACUACGAGUUCACGGUGAUGCCUUUCGGGCUUACUAAUGCCCCGGCAGCCUUCAUGGAUAUGAUGAAUAGGGUCUUUCGGGCGUACUUGGAUCAGUUUGUCGUAGUAUUUAUUGAUGAUAUCCUGAUCUACUCGCGGAGUGAUGAGGAGCACGAGGAUCAUCUCCGGCGAGUACUGCAGAUACUUCGAGAGCACAAGUUAUAUGCUAAGCUCAAGAAGUGCGAAUUCUGGCUUCGCGAGGUAUCUUUCUUGGGGCAUAUUGUGACUCCAUCGGGCAUUACGGUGGAUCCGAAGAAGAUAGCCUCGGUGGUUGAGUGGCCCAAGCCGACUUCAGUGACAGAAGUCAGGAGUUUUCUGGGUUUGGCGGGUUAUUAUCGGCGAUUUGUCGAGGGCUUCUCCAAAAUCGCCGCACCGCUGAACAAGCUUACCAGAAAAGGGGAACGAUUUCAGUGGACUGAGCAGUGCCAGCAGAGUUUCGAUGAGCUGAAGGAUCGACUGACCCGCGCACCCGUUCUGACUUUACCGCGACCUGGUGAGGACUUUGUGAUCUAUUGUGAUGCCUCACGGGUCGGUUUGGGGUGCGUGCUUAUGCAGCAGGAUCGGGUCAUUGCUUACGCCUCUCGUCAGCUAAAGCCGUAUGAAAAGAAUUAUCCAACUCACGAUUUGGAGCUUGCAGCAGUGGUGUUUGCCCUUAAGCUGUGGAGACACUAUCUAUAUGGGGCACACUGCGAGGUGUUCACUGAUCAUCAGAGCCUGAAGUACCUCUUCACUCAGAAGGAGUUGAACCUCAGGCAGAGGCGUUGGCUCGAGCUCUUGAAGGACUACGAUCUCACCAUACAGUAUCAUCCGGGAAAGGCGAAUACAGUAGCGGAUGCCUUGAGCCGGAAACAGCCUUCGGGAGAGUUGACCUUCAUGAUCACGAGCCAGGAUCGUCUGGUAGAAGAGUUUCGCCGUCUUGAGAUCGAGGUUGUUUCCACAGGAGCUACGGCCCAGUUGAUGUCCCUGGUGGUACAGCCUACCCUGAUAGAGCGGAUUACACUCGGACAGCAGAGUGACCCGUACUUACAGAAAGUGCGGGCGGAGAUCGAGCAGGGCAAGGACGGGGACUUCACUAUCCACACCGAUGGAUCCUUGCGUUUCAGAGGUAGGUGGUGCGUGCCUAGUGACACGGAGCUGAGAAGCGACAUCCUAUCCGAGGCGCAUCGAUCCCCUUACACAGUUCACCCAGGAGGAACCAAGAUGUACCGCGACCUAAAACAGAAUUUCUGGUGGCCUGGGAUGAAGCUAGAUGUGGCUCAGCACGUGGCUCGGUGCUUGAUUUGUCAGCAGAUAAAAGCCGAGCACCAACGACCGGUAGGGAAGCUGCAACCACUUCCGAUCCCCGUUUGGAAGUGGGAGCAGAUCACUAUGGAUUUCGUCACUGGAUUGCCUCGAUCACAGCGGGGGCAUGAUGCGAUCUGGGUUAUAGUGGAUCGGCUGACGAAAUCGGCUCACUUCCUGCCGAUGCACACGACGUGGUCCCGUGAUCGACUGGCACAGCUAUAUAUUGACGAGAUUGUCCGGCUUCAUGGUGUGCCAGUGUCGAUUGUAUCUGAUCGGGACACUCGCUUCGUUUCCCACUUUUGGCAGAGUCUACAGCAGGCUAUGGGAACGAAGUUGAACUUUAGUACGGCAUUCCAUCCCCAGAGUGACGGGCAGUCAGAGCGAGUCAUCCAGACUCUUGAGGACAUGCUUCGCGCCUGUGUCCUGGAUUACGGCGAUGGAUGGUUUCGAUAUCUACCACUGGUAGAGUUCGCCUAUUAUAACAGUUACCAGGCGAGCAUCGGGAUGGCACCGUACGAGGCUUUAUAUGGGCGUCGAUGUCGAUCUCCUAUCUGUUGGGAUGACGUCGGGGAACGCCGGUUGAUCGGGCCAGACUUAGUGGAGGAUGCAGAGGCAAAGAUCCGCAUUGCAAGAGAGCGGCUUCAGACUGCACAGAGUCGACAGAAGAGCUACGCGGAUCAGCGGAGGCGUGACCUAGAGUUUCAGGUCGGUGAGCAUGUGCUGCUCAAGGUGUCGCCUUCCAGGGGGAUCAAGCGGUUUGGUUUGCGGAACAAGCUUAGUCCUCGGUUUGUGGGACCGUUUGAGAUCCUAGAGCGCGUUGGUCCAGUGGCGUAUAGAUUGGCUCUUCCUCCAAGUCUCGCCCGUGUGCAUAAUGUCUUUCACGUGUCCAUGCUCCGGAAGUACAUUCCAGAUCCGUCUCACGUCAUCAGUCCGACGUCUAUUCAGCUACGGGAGGAUCUGAGCUUUGAGGAGGCUCCGAUGAGGAUUCUGGCACGAGAGGUGAAGCAACUACGGAACAGGAGCAUUCCUUACGUGAGGGUUCAGUGGGAGAACCAUGAGGAGCGUGAGGCCACUUGGGAGUUGGAGUCCUCCAUGCGGGAGCGUUAUCCGCAUUUGUUUACGGGGGAUGUUUAAUUUAAGUUUCGGGGACGAAACUUUUUGUAAGGGGGGAAUGAUGUAAUAACUGAGAUUUUUCAUUUAUUGAUUAAACCCUUUAGUUUGACGAUGUUCUUGUGUGUAAUAUAUUUAUAAGUGUACUCGUCAAAUUUCAGGAGAAAACGAGUUAAAACGGAGAAGUUACGCGACCCGGAAGUUCGACUUAAGUGAAUAGUAACUCCGAUUUUCCGGAGAGGCCGCGGAGUAGAGUGGACUUUCGACGCGUAUCGGACUCCGAAUAUAGCCUUCCAAUAGCUCGUUUCGAACCUCUCGACUAUACUGGAACCAUUGGCGCUGACGGAAUUGGGUUCUGAUGCACGGUUGUCGAGAAAAAGGGGUUUAAUGGUUUUUACAUAUGAUUAUACCUAUAUGUGGUUUUUGAUGGAACCAGUGAGNUUUUCGAUUGAGUGUUGGGGGCGAGUAUCGGGGUGUUUUUAUCAAAGGGUUUUGGCGAAUGGCAUGUUUGGCCUUCAGGGCUUUUGGCGUGGCCUUGAAGCGACAGCGAGUGGACAGCAAAGGUUUGGGUGCUUUGCUACGUCCACUGGUCGGUUGUUCCGAGUCGCUGCUUUGUUUACUAGGGGUUCUUGGUAGCCUUCUUAAGGCUUGGCUUUGGCGCAAGAUAGCCGCCUAAAGCGGCUUUUUGCGAGGCCUUCAGUGAAAUGCUAAAGGCGUUUCCGAACCCCGGAACCUGCUAGUCAGGUCUCCAAUGGGAGUCGUAAAUGUGCGACAGGUGUCGUAGAUGUUGCUUCGUCUUUCGGAUUUUCGGCUAUGGCUAUGUACUUUAACGUAGUAAAGUACACUAAAGAUCUGAAAAGACCUGGCACGCGUGUUUGGUCCCCAGCUAAUUAGGCUGGCAGCAUGAGCGACUGUCCAAAGUCGUACAGCCUCCGGCACGAGUGGAAAGCCUCGUGACGGCCGGUGACGCCACGCGCGUGCUCGCUACACUUUUAGUCUAUUUGACGCGCGUGUCGCGCUUCUAGCGCUGAUUGAGUGUUUGGUCCCGUAGUAACGACGAUAACCUCCACUCGUGCUACAAGUCGUGCUCAACAUCUAGUAGCACGAGUGAAGGGCUUCGAAUCCUCCGAAAAGCCUAGUGGCUUUUCCUCUGGCCUUGGAGCUUUUUGUCACGACCUUGCAUUUUACGGGAAUGGCCUGGGCUCCUCACGAUCCCAACCAGCGGCCGCCGGCCCUCCGCCCGCUAGGCCGGCCUCCUCCCUCGUGAGCCAGGUCCCCCAGGCCCCUCCCACGACCGGCCGCCGCCCGCCGUUGGCCACCGCGCCGCCGACUCUAGGUGAGGCGUGUGGAGGGAGAGCCCAAGUUCGAAGGGCCGCCGCGCCGCCGCCGGCCUCCUCCAGCCCCGCCGCUGCCAAGCCGCGGCCUCCAGCUCCCCCUCCGGCACGUGGGAUGCCACCCGACGCCGUCGCGGAUCUUCGACCCGCCCGGGCUGGAGCCGGGCGUGCACGAACCCGCCGGUGUCCUUCAAGGUCGCUGCCGGCCGCCGCGCGCCCCUGCCGCCCCCUACGCGCGCGGCCCAACGGCCUCCAGCGGCUCCGGCUGACCUCCCGCCGCGCCGGCCUCUUUACACCACCGCCGCGGGCGUCGAGCUCCAACCGGGCCGAGCCGGACCCAACUGGGGCCCGACCGGCGUCGAAGGUCCGCCGAGGCCGUUGCAGGCCCCUACCGGCCUCGACCCUCUAUCCGCGCGACCUCCACCUAGUGCCGGCCCCGAAGGAAGGUCUCCACCACAUCUACGGGGUGAACGAGAGCCGGUUCCUCCUCCUUUUCCACCGGCUCUCCCACCAGGCCCUUCCGACGUCCUCCCAAAGGCCACCGGCCUCGUCGUGCGGCCGCCGGCCCCGCGCGCGUGGCUGUCCCGUCCCGAGUCGACCCCGCCGAUCCCACCAGACCCAGUCGACCCCAGCCUAAUCCCAAUCCCAAAGUGGAGCCUUGGGAUUUAGAAGGAAAUACAUCCAUCUCAUUUGGAACGCCUUUUUGGGGGCUACAACUGGUUAAAGCUGGGUCGAGGGAUGGUCAACCACGUGGAACGUGCUGUCAGGGAGGCUCAAGCUUUUGAGCGUUUUGCCGCGUAUUUUAUUACCCGAAGAAGCGCUAAAUAGGCAAAACAGUUUAGUCGGGGAAGCGCCUGAAAAGCGCUAAGGGCUUCUAGGCAGGCAGCCUAAAGGCUUGCCUAACGCGGUCGCGCUAGUCGUGCUGACCCCGUAGCUUAGAUCGUAAAGCAAAGCAGACUUUUCCAGAGGCUAAACGCUGUUUUGGGUGGGAGUGACCAAGGUAGUUUUUGGUGUAUAUCCAUAUUAGUAUACAUUUUUGGUAAUUUGGGGAAAAAGAGCUGUUGGCACGUAGUCUUGGGUUAAGGCAGUCGCGGUUACCAAGGUCAUACAUGUCAGUGGGUUAGACCUUAACCCGUUGGACCUUUCGUAGGUUCGGUUGCACCGUCUUCACAGUCGAGAGACCUUCGUCAGAUACAUACAGGUGGGUACUUCGACCCGUAGUCGGUACAGUGGUGCACGCUCGGUGACGUUUCUUCACCCCUACUGUUUACUCUAUCUUAUAGUUAUAUUGAGCCUUGCAUCUGCAUUUAUAUCUACAUUCCUCUACUCAGUUAUUUCCAUAUUGAUAUCAUGCUUAGGAGUAGAGUUGAUUUAUCUAUUCACUAUCAGUGAUUUGGUUGGGGCGGUUCCCCCUAUUGUGAUACCUAUGACCUGUUCGGUCGAGUUGCUACAGUUCCAUCUUGACUUACGUAGCCGAUUAGUUGCUGAUGGCCUAUACGGCCGGUGUGCCCUGAGGGGCCUGGAUUGUCGGCUAGUUGCCGACGGAUGAUCUUUGAGCAUACUACAUUGAUCGCCACUACAGGUACGCAUUUCACGAACACCAGCGGUCUGAUCCACCGCAAGAGGGUGUUCUUUUCCGGAAAAGUGGUUGGAUUGCCAACCCGUGAGCCCAGGGGCUUCAUUGCGAGGGUAUAUGCUUCUGACCCAGGGGCUUCAUUGCGAGGGUCAGGUACAGGUUGCAGUGUGGCAUGAGCCUGAGGUCUUCGGACCAAUAGGGCAGCGAGAUUGGGUACUUUUGAGCUUUUCGUCAGUUGACGCAUGCAUACAGUAGCUGUAGUGUUUAUUUCCAGUACAUCCUUAUCUGUUUAUUGUAGCUACUGUUUUACUUACCUGCAUCUAUACUUGUCAGCUCCUUACUUAUCAGCAUAUUUACUUAUCAACACUUAUAUCUAUCUAGUUUUCCGUGACUAGUGAGUACCCCUCGCCCUCUACGGCUUGCGGUACCCACUGGGAGGGGAGACAUGUUUACAUGUUCUCACCCCCCGCCCCCAUUACAGGUGACGUAGCAGGUCCGAGUGGGACAGCUGGUGAGGAGCGUGUCUAGCGUGCGAUAGAGCUCCUUCCCGAGUCGGUUAUCCCUUUUACCCUUCAUGCUCGAAUAAAUACUUAGACAUAUUAUGGUUCAGUUUCUAUUUUAUUAUCUGACUAUCUGGGUUUUCAAUUGGUUUUGAAAUGUACUAAAGGAUUGGAGUUAUCUUAAAAUAAAACAGUUUUCUACCCCUCGUGGUAGCUGGUUUUGAAAAAGAAUGGUUCCCGUGUAGGGAUCAGUUUUCAAAUUGAUUUCUCUGUGGAUUUAUGGAUUUAGUAUUUCAAAAUCAGUUUCCAGGUAGGAAACAUUUUUAACUGAUAGAUGUGGAAUGUUAUUCAUAUUCAAGUCUCAUAUCUGUGUGUGUGAAUGGAAUGGAUGAAUGUUAUCUAUCUUGUUGUUCAUCUGGUUGUGGUUGUGUGUGUACUUAUACUCUGUUGUACUUGUGCGACGCCGUGCAAAUACAGGGGAGACUCUGUCCGUGUGAACAGUGGAACUCCUGUAUUUGUGGCGGAUCUGGCACACUCUGGGGU